rnacentral:rRNA from 1 species
CGUGAGUGAUGAAGGCUUUCGGGUCGUAAAGCUCUGUCAAGUGGGAAGAACCUAUGUAAUGCUAAUACCAUUAUAUAUUGACGGUACCACUGAAGGAAGCACCGGCUAACUCCGUGCCAGCAGCCGCGGUAAUACGGGGGGUGCAAGCGUUAUUCGGAAUCAUUGGGCGUAAAGAGCACGUAGGCGGCCUGGUAAGUCAGAUGUGAAAGCCCGGGGCUUAACCCCGGAAGUGCAUUUGAUACUGCCAGGCUUGAGUAUGGGAGAGGGAAGUGGAAUUCCUGGUGUAGAGGUGAAAUUCGUAGAUAUCAGGAGGAACACCGGUGGCGAAGGCGACUUCCUGGACCAAUACUGACGCUGAGGUGCGAAGGCGUGGGUAGCAAACAGGAUUAGAUACCCUGGUAGUCCACGCAGUAAACGUUGAUCACUAGGUGUAGCGGGUAUUGACCCCUGCUGUGCCGCAGUUAACGCAUUAA